rnacentral:lncRNA from 1 species
GGAGAUUUGGGGGCAUUGGAAUGAAGGGUUUGGGAAUUUAGGAUGGGAGAUUUGAGAUGAAGGAUUUGGGAAUUUGGUAUAAAAGAUUUGGGGGAUUUGGGAUGAAGGAUUUGGGAUCUUUGGAUCAAGGAUUUGGGGAUUUUGGACCAAGGAUUUGGGGAUUUGGGAUGGGGAAUCUGGGAUAAAAGAUUUGGGGAUUUGGGAUGAAGGAUUUAGGAAUUUUGGAUCAAAGAUUUGCAAAUUUGGAUUGAAGGAUUUGGGAUUUGGGAAUUUGGGAUGAAGGAUUUGGGAAUUUUGGGGUGAAGGAUUUGGAAUUUGGGGUGAAGGAUUUGAAUUUUUGGAUGAAUUUUGGGGGGAAGGAUUUGGAUUUUGGGAUGAAGUAUUUGGGAAGUUUGGGAUGAAGAAUUUGGAUUUUGGGGUGAAGAGUUUGGAUUUUGGGAUGAAUUUUGGGGUGAAGGAUUUGAAUUUUUGGAUGAAUUUUGGGGCAAAGGUUUUGGAUUUUGGAUUGAAGGGUUUGGAUUUUGGGGUGAAGGAUUUUGGGGUGAAGGAUUUGGAUUUUGGGAUGAAUUUUGGGGUGAAGGUUUUGGAUUUUGGGAUGAAUUUUGGGGUGAAGGAUUUGGAAUUUGGGGUGAAUGAUUUGGAUUUUGGGAUGAAUUUUGGGGUGAAGGAUUUGGAAUUUGGGAUGAAAUUUGGGGUGAAGAAUUUGGAUUUUGGGGUGAAUGAUUUGGAUUUUGGGAUGAAUUUUGGGCUGAAGGAUUUGGAUUUCGGGGUGAAGUAUUUGGGAAGUUUGGGAUGAAGAAUUUGGAUUUUGGGGUGAAGGGUUUGAAUUUUGGGAUGAAUUUUGGGGGGAAGGAUUUGGAUUUUGGGAUUGAUUUUGGGGUGAAGG